GUUUGUCUCUUUAGUGAGAAGAAAAUAAUUCUAUCUGCCUCUGUUUCUGUUCUAGAGAUCUGAAGUACUUUAGAGACCUAUUAGACUGCUCAGGAUUAUCCAUGGGGGAAUAAACACAAGUAUCUGAAAUCAGCAAGAGCAACUGAAACAAGAUUCCAUUGAAUGACUGCAUAGAAAUUCUGCAUAUUAAGUCCCUCUGCAUAUCAUGAAAGCAAGGAUGGGUGGACUUGGCUAGAAAAGAAAUUUUCAAGAUUCAUACUCAUGGCUGGAUCCCUAAGCUACCGGACAUGUUGCUUGAUGAGCUAGCUGAGAAAUGCAUUGGAUACUGUGGUGCAGAUAUAAAGUGCUUACGUGUUGAAGCUCUGCGGUGUUCUCUGUGUCAACGCUAUCCUCAGAGAUAUGCAAGUAGGGAGAAAUUGCGAGUAGAUGUUAAUUCUGUUAAA
rnacentral:lncRNA from 1 species